GUACACCUCGGUAUAGGCGGGAUUUUGCCUACGACCGGAUGUUCCUCUGCAUCCGGUCGGAGGACGUAAUAAUUGUUUUUUCCCAUGUUGAUGUAUUUUUGUAUCAUUAAAUCAAACGCUUUUUUGAGGAGCAGUUCAGAAUUUUUUGGGGUUGAAAAUCGUAUCUAAGAUAUAGGUGCUGUCAAUUGACUGCGUGAUGAAACGCUGAGGAAACCAGCAUGAUAAAUCACUCUUUCUUAUGAUGCGGGGUAGAUCUAUAUCAAAUCAUACUGCAUUAGGUUAACAUAAAAUCAAAUAAAUUUAGGGGCUGUUUGGUUGCCUGAAUUAGGAGGGUAAAGUAAAAUAAAUACAUGUAUUUACUAAAUUUGGCUGUUUGGUUAAUUUUGAGUGGAACAAAAGGAAAACCUCCGAAGCAUUAGGCGUGUAUUACGUGAGGCGGAUCUCGCGACUUUGAAAGCCGCUCAAAAUGAGCGGGUUUGAAAUUCUUCGCUCGAGUACCAGCCCCGUGCCAUCCCUCCUGCGAAGAGCGAAGUCGAACAGCCAAGAGGGAGCCAAAGUCGAAUAGCAACGAAGGAAAGGAAGGAGAGAUCCGUGCGGUCUGUCGCUCUCAUGCGAAUGAACGAAGUCUAACGACGACAAGGGAGCUGAGAAGCGACGGUGCAAUCUAUGCACCCCCUGCGAAUCAACGAAAAUGAACAGCAACGACGAAAAGGAGAAGAUGAAAGGCGAACCCAGGUCGUCUUUCUGGGUUGGAUGAGUUCGGACACUGAAAUGGAAAUCGGCUAGAUCAAUCAGUGGAAGCAGUGGUUCGGAUUUGGAAGAGGUCUGGCAGCAGGAAUUUUGUGGAGGAAAGAGACGAAGAGCAACCGAUGACUUUCAUUCGAUCUGCAUUUUAUCAACAUGAAUGGUGAAAUUGAGCAGGAUUUAUGCAUGCAAAAGAUGAAAUAGGUCGGCACCAUUGCAGGGAAUGGGGCACUGCAGCGGGAUUUCUGCCAGCAAUGAAAGCUGCAGGUGCAAGCAGAAGAGUUUUUCAGCUUCUUGAUCGUGUGUCCUCUAUGCCAAAAUCUGGUGAUAUCUAAAGAGGUUCAUGGAGAUGACUAUCUUAUGCAGUUUGUGGUAGCACAGAAGCUUGAAGAACAAGUUCUGAUGGGGUUGACCGGUUGAGAGAGGAGAAUAUUCACCUCAUAAAUAAAGACCAUGUUGACUCAUUCACUGAAAUUGUAGUUGCUUGUUUGUCAAAUGAAGAACCAAAAAGAUGAUGCUGGAGUUGUUAAUUUCCUAUCUGAAGUCCAGCCUUUUGUUUUUGCCAACACUAAUUUAAUUCUGUCAGGCUUGGGGGUGUUAGCUGUUGUGGUGCUUGCUAUCGCAUUUGUUUGUUUUAAAUUUUUUAAUUUAUUGUUGUUUUUUUGUCUGUGUAACUAUAUAAUCUUUGGGCUUUCGUUUGAUAGAUAUGUUGCAAAAAAAGAAUUGUUUUUGAAAUCAUGUAA